rnacentral:rRNA from 1 species
UACGUAGGGAGCAAGCGUUGUCCGGAAUCAUUGGGCGUAAAGCGCGCGUAGGCGGCCCGGUAAGUCCGCUCUGAAAGUCAAAGGCUCAACCUUUGAAAGCGGGUGGAUACUGUCGGGCUAGAGUCCGGAAGAGGCGAGUGGAAUUCCUGGUGUAGCGGUGGAAUGCGCAGAUAUCAGGAGGAACACCAACGGCGAAGGCAGCUCGCUGGGACGGUACUGACGCUAAGGCGCGAAAGCGUGGGGAGCGAACAGG